UACGGAGGGGGCUAGCGUUGUUCGGAAAUACUGGGCGUAAAGCGCACGUAGGCGGCGAUUCAAGUCAGAGGUGAAAGCCCGGGGCUCAACCCCGGAACUGCCUUUGAAACUAGAUUGCUAGAAUCCUGGAGAGGUGAGUGGAAUUCCGAGUGUAGAGGUGAAAUUCGUAGAUAUUCGGAAGAACACCAGUGGCGAAGGCGACUCACUGGACAGGUAUUGACGCUGAGGUGCGAAAGCGUGGGGAGCAAACAGG
rnacentral:rRNA from 1 species